AUGACUACCCGUAGGAUCGUGCAGAUGCCAGCGCUGCAGCACCUACAACCCCCGCCCAUGGGAUUGGGAGGCAACCCUGGUCGCCUGGCCGCCCAGGCAGCAGCGGUAGCGGUGGAACGCCAUCGGGAGACCUUAGUACGCGCGAACGCCAACUUGGGAGGCACCACACAUACCCACAUCCUGGCAGACGCUAUUGUGGGCGGUGUACUGAUGUCAUUGGGCAGCAGAGCCCCGCUUACAAACAUCGCGGCGGCGGUGGAACAAGUUAUCCGGGGGGUAGGGGAGCUCCUCAUCCGACAACUCAAGACAGCGCUCUCAAGCCCGUUGGGGCUGUCGUACGCCCAGUGGAUAUCGGAGCGCCUCACUACGAAGCUUCACGCGCUGCUCGCCCCUUUGACCACGUAUGCCGCGACCUACGACGCGGACAUCUACACGGUCAGCAACAUGCUGGCCACCUUACUGGGCGGGUUAGAGUUGGCCGACUGCGCGUUAAGCCUGCUGAAACCGAAUCACCCCCAACUGGGGGCAGCGCAACGAGCUUGGCUACUGGCCGCGGAAAACGAGGUCACCAGAGACGCCAUUUGCGAAGCAGAUAUGACGGAGGCAAUGUGGGCGAAAGGCUACGGCCCACAACUGGGCUGUCUUUGGCGCCUGCUGGAACGGGUGGACGAUACGGUCAGACUUCUGCGAUCAACUCUCGCCAACGCAAAAUUCCAAAGCGGUUGGCAAGAGAGCCAAGCUGGGGGCUCACGCACCCAGGACAACCCCGGGGGUGGGGCGAUGAGCGGAGGCCAGGCGGCAGGUAUGAGAAGCAGCGUCGGCAACGGGCCAGCGGGGGAAGAGGGCCGGCAGGGCGGGGGCCGCCGAAACGACGCCCUAGCGGGACGCGGCAGGCAAGGGCCCGCGCCGUGGCAGGCGGCCUUCGACGCAGUGAGAGACGAGCUCGGGAGGCGCAACCUCCCGGCAGAGCUGUGCCCGGAUAGCGACACUUUAUUCCGGACGGCCAAGUCCCUUCGCCCGGCGAUUUGCUGCAACGUGGCACUCCUGGGAAAGCAAUGCCCUAUGGGCGGCCCCCCAGGCUGCAAAUUCGUGCACGACGACCUCCAGCGGACUGUAGGGCGCUUGGUGACUGAGUUGGCGACGAAGAGACAGGCAGGGCCCAACUCGAGCGGGAAUAAGCGGACCUUGGUGAAUUAGUUCGGGAAGCUAAGGCAGACUUAGCGUUAGCACACCUUGUGCUGUGGUUCGAAUGCGCGAUUUGUGGGCGUUAGAGCUUGAGAGUCAGGCCGCGGUACCUCGUGGCUACCGUUAAGACCUAGUAAGGCGCGGACGUUUAUGUGGUUGUUAUCCUUGACCUGACUGCAGACGGCGAUUGGGAGUAGCGACUGCCCGGAGCGAGCGCGAAAAGGAACGCUAGGCAUUGACCCCAGUCGGAUCGGAUCGGACGAGGGAUCGCGCGGAACAGAAGGUGAACCCGAGACAAAAACCCUAACUCUCGAGCUAGACGGCGAGGACGCUGGCACUUGGUGCGACCCGGAAGAAGACGCGCUGCUGUUGUUCUUUAAGAAAGUGCCGGUCGCCAACAACCCCCAGACUGAGAUCGCGUUGCCCGCGCCACCAGAGACGGACCUACCACGCGCAGCAGAACAGCUGAACCGGGCAUGGCUCGGUAUCACCGCAGCAACACUGGCUGAGACCCCGGACACGCAGCUGAUGCAGGAAGCGACGUUCGAANNNNNNNNNNNNNNNNNNNNNNNNNNNNNNNNNNNNNNNNNNNNNNNNNNNNNNNNNNNNNNNNNNNNNNNNNNNNNNNNNNNNNNNNNNNNNNNNNNNNNNNNNNNNNAGGAACGCCAGGAGUACCCAGCAUUGGCGAGACAACGCGAGAGCAGCGAUCUACACCCGGCAGCGACAGGCCACCUCAGCUGGGAAAAUAUGGGCAUUCCGUUCGCCCCGAAACGCGCAACGUAAACGGUAGCCCACCCAGCGCCAGCGCCGGGCCACUGGAGCCAAGCGGCAGAAUCAGACGGUUUGCCCCAGCCGGGGGGUAAACUUCUCCUUGGGAACGUGCUUUUUGGACCGAUAGAAUCCGACGCCCGAGGCAUGACUACCCGUAGGAUCGUGCAGAUGCCAGCGCUGCAGCACCUACAACCCCCGCCCAUGGGAUUGGGAGGCAACCCUGGUCGCCUGGCCGCCCAGGCAGCAGCGGUAGCGGUGGAACGCCAUCGGGAGACCUUAGUACGCGCGAACGCCAACUUGGGAGGCACCACACAUACCCACAUCCUGGCAGACGCUAUUGUGGGCGGUGUACUGAUGUCAUUGGGCAGCAGAGCCCCGCUUACAAACAUCGCGGCGGCGGUGGAACAAGUUAUCCGGGGGGUAGGGGAGCUCCUCAUCCGACAACUCAAGACAGCGCUCUCAAGCCCGUUGGGGCUGUCGUACGCCCAGUGGAUAUCGGAGCGCCUCACUACGAAGCUUCACGCGCUGCUCGCCCCUUUGACCACGUAUGCCGCGACCUACGACGCGGACAUCUACACGGUCAGCAACAUGCUGGCCACCUUACUGGGCGGGUUAGAGUUGGCCGACUGCGCGUUAAGCCUGCUGAAACCGAAUCACCCCCAACUGGGGGCAGCGCAACGAGCUUGGCUACUGGCCGCGGAAAACGAGGUCACCAGAGACGCCAUUUGCGAAGCAGAUAUGACGGAGGCAAUGUGGGCGAAAGGCUACGGCCCACAACUGGGCUGUCUUUGGCGCCUGCUGGAACGGGUGGACGAUACGGUCAGACUUCUGCGAUCAACUCUCGCCAACGCAAAAUUCCAAAGCGGUUGGCAAGAGAGCCAAGCUGGGGGCUCACGCACCCAGGACAACCCCGGGGGUGGGGCGAUGAGCGGAGGCCAGGCGGCAGGUAUGAGAAGCAGCGUCGGCAACGGGCCAGCGGGGGAAGAGGGCCGGCAGGGCGGGGGCCGCCGAAACGACGCCCUAGCGGGACGCGGCAGGCAAGGGCCCGCGCCGUGGCAGGCGGCCUUCGACGCAGUGAGAGACGAGCUCGGGAGGCGCAACCUCCCGGCAGAGCUGUGCCCGGAUAGCGACACUUUAUUCCGGACGGCCAAGUCCCUUCGCCCGGCGAUUUGCUGCAACGUGGCACUCCUGGGAAAGCAAUGCCCUAUGGGCGGCCCCCCAGGCUGCAAAUUCGUGCACGACGACCUCCAGCGGACUGUAGGGCGCUUGGUGACUGAGUUGGCGACGAAGAGACAGGCAGGGCCCAACUCGAGCGGGAAUAAGCGGACCUUGGUGAAUUAGUUCGGGAAGCUAAGGCAGACUUAGCGUUAGCACACCUUGUGCUGUGGUUCGAAUGCGCGAUUUGUGGGCGUUAGAGCUUGAGAGUCAGGCCGCGGUACCUCGUGGCUACCGUUAAGACCUAGUAAGGCGCGGACGUUUAUGUGGUUGUUAUCCUUGACCUGACUGCAGACGG
rnacentral:lncRNA from 1 species